rnacentral:rRNA from 1 species
UACGUAGGGGGCAAGCGUUGUCCGGAUUUAUUGGGCGUAAAGAGCGUGUAGGCGGCCAGGUAGGUCAGCUGUGAAAACUCGAGGCUCAACCUCGAGACGUCGGUUGAAACCACCUGGCUAGAGUCCGGAAGAGGAGAGUGGAAUUCCUGGUGUAGCGGUGAAAUGCGCAGAUAUCAGGAAGAACACCCGUGGCGAAGGCGGCUCUCUGGGACGGUACUGACGCUGAGAUGCGAAAGCGUGGGGAGCAAACAGG